rnacentral:rRNA from 1 species
UACGAAGGGGGCUAGCGUUGUUCGGAAUUACUGGGCGUAAAGCGUAUGCAGGCGGAUCGUUAAGUCGGGGGUGAAAUCCCGAGGCUCAACCUCGGAACUGCCUUCGAUACUGGCGACCUUCGAGUCCGGGAGAGGUGAGUGGAACUCCGAGUGUAGAGGUGAAAUUCGUAGAUAUUAGGAAGAACACCAGUGGCGAAGGCGGCUCACUGGUCCGGUACUGACGCUGAGACGCGAAAGCGUGGGGAGCGAACAGG